rnacentral:rRNA from 1 species
CCUACGGGAGGCAGCAGUGGGGAAUAUUGGACAAUGGGGGCAACCCUGAUCCAGCCAUGCCGCGUGUGUGAAGAAGGCCCUCGGGUUGUAAAGCACUUUCAGUGAGGAAGAACGCCUGGUGGUUUAUACCCAUCAGGAAAGACAUCACUCACAGAAGAAGCACCGGCUAACUCCGUGCCAGCAGCCGCGGUAAUACGGAGGGUGCGAGCGUUAAUCGGAAUUACUGGGCGUAAAGCGCGCGUAGGUGGCUUGAUAAGCCGGUUGUGAAAGCCCCGGGCUCAACCUGGGAACGGCAUCCGGAACUGUCAAGCUAGAGUGCAGGAGAGGAAGGUAGAAUUCCCGGUGUAGCGGUGAAAUGCGUAGAGAUCGGGAGGAAUACCAGUGGCGAAGGCGGCCUUCUGGACUGACACUGACACUGAGGUGCGAAAGCGUGGGUAGCAAACAGGAUUAGAUACCCUGGUAGUC